ensembl:lincRNA Gm10445 predicted gene 10445
GCAUGCUCCUCUCAUGCUUCUAAGCAUGGGCCUUGCCCUCUGCCCUCUGCUCUCCUCACAUUUGUUAACAAGGUCUAACCAUGAAGAGAUGAGGUCUGUCUGGCCUUCCAGGCAGUAAACCUCAUGAGGACAGGACCAGUAUCUGCUUCUGUUUGCUCCUGCCUGGUUCAGGAAGGGGACAACUGUGGUGAUGACUCUCAGAAGUCCUGGACACUCAUCCUGCGAGCCUGGGCACCUCUGAUACUGGUUUCCUUAGACUGUCUCCACCCAGCAAUGCAUAGCCAUGAGCUCUGCUGGGGACAUGGGAGAAGCAGUUGCUGCCUAUCCAUGACUGCCUAUCCAUGAAAAUGAAGGCGUUCGCCAAGAACAAGGUCCCAGGAGCUUCGUUCUGAAGAGUGUGUAGCUUGAAAGCCUGCUCUUGGAUGUCUCGGGUCACUUCACACAGACUAUUGCAUCAAGAGUUACAGUCCAUCAUCCAGGGACACUAAGGCUGAAACCAGAAGCAGGAACUGCAGCAGAGACAAUGGAAGGAUGGUGCUUACUGGCUUGUUUCUUCUGGCUUGUUGCUAGCUUUCUUAUACAGCCCAAGUCCACCUUUCUAGGGAUGACACCACCCACCGUGGGCUGGGCCGGCCACCAUCCAUUAGCAAUUAAGAAAAUAACUCACAGAUAUGGCCAUAGAUCAAUUUGAAUAUAGCAAUUCUUUAUUGAGGGUCUUUCUUCCCAGGUGAUUCUUGGUUUAUGGAUUAAGAAAGCUGAAAUUAAUUAUGACAGGC